rnacentral:rRNA from 1 species
UCCGACGGGGGCUCUCUUUUCUCGGCCUUACUGGGCGUAAAGCGCACGUAGGCGGCUUUCUAAGUCGGGGGUGAAAUCCUGGAGCUCAACUCCAGAACUGCCUUCGAUACUGGAGAGCUCGAGUCCGGGAGAGGUGAGUGGAACUGCGAGUGUAGAGGUGAAAUGCGUAGAUAUUCGCAAGAACACCAGUGGCGAAGGCGGCUCACUGGCCCGGUACUGACGCUGAGGUGCGAAAGCGUGGGGAGCAAACAGG